GGCUGAAAUUCGCCUUCAUGAAGUCGGAAUUGCUAGUAAUGGCAGGUCAGCAUACUGCCGUGAAUACGUUCCCGGGCCUUGUACACACCGCCCGUCACACCAUGAGAGUUGGAGAUACCCGAAGCCUAUGAGCUAACUUUUAGAGGCAGUAGUCGAAGGUAGAAUCAAUGAUUGGGGUGAAGUCGUAACAAGGUACC
rnacentral:rRNA from 1 species